rnacentral:misc_RNA from 1 species
GAUGAAGAACGCAGCGAAAUGCGAUAAGUAAUGUGAAUUGCAGAAUUCAGUGAAUCAUCGAAUCUUUGAACGCACAUUGCGCCCGCCAGUAUUCUGGCGGGCAUGCCUGUUCGAGCGUCAUUUCAACCAUCAAGCCCCCGGCUUGUGUUGGGGACCUGCGGCUGCCGCAGGCCCUGAAAAGCAGUGGCGGGCUCGCUGUCACACCGAGCGUAGUAGCAUACAUCUCGCUCUGGGCGUGCUGCGGGUUCCGGCCGUUAAACCACCUUCAUAACCCAAGGCUGACCUCGGAUCAGGUAGGAAGACCCGCUGAACUUAAGCAUAUCAAUAAGCGGAGGA